CCCGACGCCAGCCGUCCCGACCCGGAUGAAACACUGCGUGACAGGCAGCGAGCGUGGCGGCCAUCUUCGUCUUCUGGGCACGUCAGCUGAGCCGGUUAGGGCCGAAGAGGAGCGUUGCGCAAGCGCGCCCAAGACGGCCACAGGUAACUCCCAUCUGACGGGCGAGGCGUCGCCGUCCUCGCCGGAAGUUUGGCGUUUCUGCGCCGCGGGAGAGGGGGCGGUCGCGGCAGAAGCAGCUGAGUGUCUCCUGAUACCCGGAUGUGAGGCGUUCUGCUGGCCCGCGUUGGAUCCUCCGCCAGGAGUGAGGAAGGUACGCGAGAGUCCCGAGCGCCCCCGCCGCCUGCCGUCGCGCCGCCUGCGUCCUCGCCUCCCUUUGGCAGCCUCUCCGGUGAGCAGGACGCCUCUACCCCUUCCUGUCCCACCCUCAGUGUCGUUGCCUCGCGCGCCUCUUCCUCCUUCUGUGGCCCGGGUUCCUGGCGCCCCUGGGAGGGGUGGGAGGUAGCCAGCCUGCGCGUCUCAGCUGCCCAGUCGCCGCAUCACCUGCCGCUGCUUGCCAGGCGGUCAGAGGAGACAGCUGGAUUCUUCUCUCAGCUUCUGCAUUCAGUCUGUUGUUAUAUGUUGUUCUGGUUGAAGUAUAUGAAGAAAAUCCAGCUUCACACCUAUAUGUUGGGAGGAGUACUUUAAUAACCUUUUGAGAUAAUUGUGAUAUUCUUCUUUGAUGCUACAACAAAACUCAACAAGUGGUAAUUUCUUAAAGGUUAGUUGCAGUGUGGAAUCUCAAGCCAUGUCUGUAUACUUUUUGUACAGUGUUGCACUAAAGGUUGUCCAGUGUGUUUGUACUUUGAAUUCAUCUUUUACUUCGCUUAUAAUUUGGAUCUCACACCCUCCCCGAAAGGGUCUCUGGCAUCCCCAUGCUGCCCAUACCACACUUUGAGAACUACUGCUUUAAUGUAAAUAAUUCAGUAAUUUAGAAUUAAUGUAGGUAUUGAAGCUGACAGUGAUAAUUGUAAUAUGGAAAUGGAGUUGUCAAGUAGUUAAGUGAAACCAGGAUAACUGAGGUAAAUAUUUUCUUUUUUAUGCUCUUUUCAUCAAAAAUGUUAUUGUAUCAGUGAUAUUAUGGCUAAUUAUUAUGGCUAAUAGUUAAUAAGUGCUUAUAUGUUCCAGGAGCUGUUCUAAGGACUUUAUAUUAGGAAAUGUUUAUGUUGUGUCUAUUUUUUUUGGGGGGGUAAGGAAGAUUGGCCCUGAGCUAACGUCUGUUGCCAAUCUCCCUCUUUUUGCUUGUGGAGGCUUGUUGCUGAGCUAACAUCUGUAGCAGUCUUCCUCUAUUUUUUUUUGUAUGUGGGACACCACCACAGCAUAGUUUGAUAAGCAGUGCCUACGUCAGUGCCUGGGAUCCAAACCCAAGAACCCCGGGCCACUGGGUUGAGUGUGGGAACUUAACCACACCACCCGGCGGGCCCCCAUAUUGUUCUAUCCUUAGUGACGGUUAAGCGAAAGACUAAUAUAACAACUUUUUCCCCUACAGAUAGUACAGCCUUUCUGACAUAUAUUAUUGUUUAUAAAGCAGAUAUACUUCCAUUUUAGAGAAUACAUACUGCUUAGAUAAUUUCUCUAUAAGAUAUUUGAGAAUAAGGACUAUAUCUAUCCUCAGCAUCUGUCUCUAUAUAUUUAACAUAUAUACUUUUAGACUAUUUUAGACCAUCAGAAAAUCGAGUUAUUAAAUAAAACAAAUACUAGUAGUUUUUAAGAAGAUAAUCUUGUUAACUUGAAAAUCUGAAACUUACUGUUUUAUUUUGUUAAAUCAUUUCAACUAGUAUUUUAAAGUUUGUUGUGACCACACACACUAAGUGAAAUUUUUCUUCAAAAACAGAAAUAGGUAAUAAUUUUCAGAAGACAAGUUUAGGCUUAUUUUAAAAAUCUGAUGCAUGUUAAAAUAUGCAUUGUUUCAGAUUCACUCUUUCGGUAAUAGCUUUAUGGAGAUACAGUCUACCCUUAAAGAAUACAACUUAGUGGUUUUUAGUAUAUUCACAGAAUUGUACAACCAUUACCACUGUCUAAUGUUAACAUAUUUUCAUCAACCCAGAAAGAAGCCCCAUACCUAUAUUAAUAUGUCACUCUUCAUUUCCUUUCCUCCCUAGUCCCUUACUACCUCUGGUCUACUCUCUGUUUUUAUAGAUUUAUCUGUUCUGGACAUUUCAUGGAAUCAUACAACUUGGGGCCUUUUGUGACUGUCGUCUUUUACUUAGCAUAAUAUUUUUAAGGUUCAUCCCUUGAGGAAGGUAUCAGUGCUCCAGUCCUGUCUAUAGCUAAAUAUAUUGCAAAGGGUUCUUGGACCCAGUUCCAGUGUGUGUAUAUGGAGGCUUCCCAAUACCAACAGGCAGUUCUUGGAUGCCAGCAAGGUGUCUGAGAAUUCAACUCAAUUCUGCUACUAUUUAUCUGGAGAUAGGAUCAGAUUCCACAGGUAAAGGGCUCAGUCCCGCAAGUCUGCCCUCCACUUCAGAGGCCAGUCAGAAGCCCAGGUGCUUGUGACCUACCAGCUACAAAGUGGAGGUUCCCUUGACCCUGUCCUUUGGUUUGAUUAAUUUGCUAGAAUGGCUCACAGGACUGAAAAUCCAUUUACUCACUAGAUUACUGAUUUAUUACAAAGGAUAUUAAAGGAAAGAAUCAACAGCCAGAUGAAGAGAUGCAUAGGGCGAGGUCCUGAACAAAGGAACUUCUCUCUUCAUGCAGCUUGGGGCUUGGCAUAGUAGCCCGCCGAAGUGUUCUGGUUCCGCAAGGUGGAAGCUCUCUGAAAAAAAGGGCUGAUAUGCUGUCCUUUGGGUUUUUAUGGAGGCUUCAUUCGUAGUCAUGGUUGACUAAGUCAUUGACUGUUGUCUAUUGAUUCAACUUAAAGCUCCCCUCCUCUCUCUGGAAAUCAGGGGGCGGAACUGAAAGUUCCAAUCCUCUGAUCACAUGGCUGGUUCUCCUGGUAACCAGCCCCAACCCUUGGGAGGGGUCCAGAAGUCACAUUAUUAUCAGAGUAGAAGGCAUCUUUAUGGCUCUCAUCCCUUAGGAAAUUGAAAUUCCAACAGUUUGGGGGAGCUGUGAGCCAGGAACAGAGACCAAAUAUAUAUAUAUAUAUAUUUUUUUUUACUAUUUGCUCCUGAGCUAACAUCUGUUGCCAGUCUUCCCUUUUUUCCUCCUUCUUCUCCCCGAAGUCCCCCAGUACCUAGUUGUAUAUUCUAGUUGUAGGCUCUUCUAGUUGUGCUAUUUGGGACACCACCUCAGCAUGGCCUAAUGAGCGGUGCCAUAUCCAUCCCCAGCAUCCGAACCAGCAAACCCUGGGCUGCCAAAGCAGAGUGCGUGAACUUAACCACUUGACCGCAGGGCUGGCCCCGUGACCAGAUAUUUUUGAGAAAUAUAUUUUGGUCAUCUGAAUGACCAAAUAUAUAUUUUUUAUACAUCACAAUAUUGCGUCUGUUAUAUGUAUAUGCCACAUUUUGUUUAUCCAUUCAUCAAUUGAUGGACAUUUGGAUUGUGUCCAUUUUUUGGCUAUUAUGAAUAAUGCUGCUAUGAACAUUUGUGUUAGUUAUUGAGAUUCACUUUUGAGCUUUUUUAGUGUGUUUUACAUAGAUAGAAACAGUCACAACUGAUAAGUAUAUUCAUUUUUGAUAUGAAAGAUUCAAACAGUACAUAAACAUAUAUGUAAAAUGUGAAGGUAUUCCUUCAUUCUUUGUAUACCCUUUCAUCCCCAUCUUUUACCACUCUGGAGGUAACCACUGUUUACAUUUUAGUGUUUAUUCUUUUAGUGUGUUUAUUAAUAUGUGUUAGCACACUUAUGUAUGAUACAUUAAUUUAUCUCUUUCUUACAAAACUAUAUUUAUGCAGUUUAUGUACCUCAUUUCUAAUGACUAUCAAAAUUCUAUCUUGGUAUUUUAUUUUUUCUCUUUUGGGCAUUUGGGCUGUUUUGGAUAUUUUUGCUAAUAUAAGUGCUGCUGUUAUCAUUGCUGUCAUUAUAUAAAUUAUCUUUUUUGUGGUGGGGGCUUUAUUUUUUUGAUGUGGGUGGAUGGUAAUUGUGGAGGACGGAUAUAGUGGAAUGAGUUGAGUGUUUGACAGUUGCAUUUAAGUUGCCUUUAAGACAUCAGACUGGAGAUGUCCAGUAGGCUGUUGGGUAUCUGAGUAGCACUAGGGAUGGAGAUUCGUGUUGGGGAUAUUCAUUUGCAUGUUACCAGUUUACCGGUAAUAAUUAAAAGUAUGAAUAUAGAUGAAAUUAUCUGGUCAGUGGCUUUUCUGAUGAGAAGACAAAACCUUGUGGAAUGUUAAUUUAUAAAAGCUUGGUGGAGGAAGAGAAUUUAAAAAAUUAAAGAAAUUGUCCAUGUCUAGCUUUUUUAGAGUUUUAACUACUGUUGAGUUUUACUGAAUACCUGUUGUCAGUCUACUGAGAAAAUUAUAGAAAUUUUGCAAUUUGUUUUUCCUAUCAAGAUAAUUAAUUAUGAAACCACUUUUUACCGUGGUAUUUCUCCUUUUCUUAGAAUAAACUUUUCUUGGUGAUAGUGGGUAUCUUGUUGCUAAAAUGUUGUUAACUUAGGGCUUAUAGUUUUCUUUUUAGCUUUGUUCUUAAGUUUUUGAUCCCCAGCCAUAUUUGCCACUUAAAAUGAGUUGAUGCGCCUGUAACCCACUUAUAUUUUGGAGCCAUUUGUAGUGGAGAGAUUUAAUCUUUGGUGAACAAGUUUGGCCCUGAGUUAACAUCUGUUGCCAGUCUUCCUCCUCUUUUUUUUCUUUUCUCCCCAAAGCCUCAGUACAUAGUUGUAUAUCCUAGUUAUAGACCAUUGUCGUUCUUCUCUGUGGGAUGCUGCCACAGCACGGCUUGAUGAACGGUGGCAGGUCUGUGCCCAGGAUCUGAACCAGUGAAACCCGGGCUGCCGAAGCAGAGUGCACGAACCUAAUCACUUGGCCAUGGGGCCGGCCCUGAGAUUUAAUUUUUGAAAGUUUAGAAAAAUUUAUUAGGGGCAAUACCUUGUGUUAUUGUGUGUGUUUUCUGUUGCAUUCUCUGUUAAUGGUCUAUUGUUGCUUCAGUUGUGACAUUUUGUUUUUAGUUAGUAUUUAUUAGUUUAAACUUUAUGAUUCAUUAAAAUAUUUUUUAAUCUCUCAGUAUUUGUUGGGUAUUUUGAAUGUGAGAAACACUUGGAUUAGCUUAAAUAGUAAGUAAAUGAAUUGGUAGGAUACACAGAAAAGUAAGGAAGAGAAGACUCUGUUUUUAUAAAGGGCCAGAUCUUGUGGAAGAAAAGAAUAGGAAAUCACCAAACACUAGGCCUUGCUGAAGAGCAACAAACCAGACCUUAUAGAAACUUGAACAUAGUUCAGGACUUAGAAGUUGCUGCUCUAGCAUUUGGUUUACCUUCUUGUGAUUUUCCUUGCUAGGGGAGUUAAAACAAGGAAGGCCGAAUGCUCAACCAAUGGUAAUUUUGCCUCCCAGGGGACAUUUGGCACUGUCUGAAGAUUGUCAGAGCUGACGGCAGGGUGCUACUGGUAUCUAGUGGGUAGAGGUCAGGAAUGCUACUGCUAAACGUCCUCCAUACACAAGGCAGCACUCCCACAACGAAGAAUUUAUCUGGUCCAACGCGUUAAUAGUGUGAGGUUGGAAAACUUUGUUAUAGUCACUAUAUGUUGGCUACUCUUGUGUCAGGAACCCACCCUUGAUCUAAUCAGCUAUGUGGAGCAUAGCAGGGUUAGGAGGUUCAGAGUGUAACUAUUUAUGAACUCCCUGAGGCUUUUUUGUUUUUUUUUUUUAAGCACCCGUGGACAUGGUAAAAUUUUCAGAAAGGGUUUAUGAACUUGACGAGUGACUAGACUCAGAUUUUCAGUAAAUAUUUCUCUUAUCUCUUGUACGUGGCAAAAGGAUUGUGCAGUUGAAGUGGAAUAACAAUUGGUAGGUUGGGGCUGGCCCCAUGGCAUAGUGGUUAAGUUUGGCAUGCACUGCUUUGGCAGCCUGGAUUUGCUGGUUUGGAUCCUGGGCAUGGACCUACGCCACUUGUCAGCCAUGCUGUGGCGGCAACCUACAUACAAAAUAGAGGAGAAUUGGCGCAGAUGUUAGCUCAGGGCGAGUUUUUCUCAGCAAAAAAAAAGUAAAGAAUUGGUCAAUUAUUGGAGUUAAGGAGAUUAAGGGCCUAUGGUCAUUCAUGUGAACUUUAUAGCCCAUAAUGAUGGUAAUAGUUUGGUUUGAGAAGAAAACUAUGGUUGAAAAGUUUUUGGUGGUCAGUAGAUUACUACACUGAAGAAUGAUAGAACAUAAGAGCAGAAUGGCAUAAACCUUAAAAGAAAAGUGGAAAGAAUUUUGCAAAGGGUUGAAAAAUGGCUGUGGCUGGGAACACUGCAGGUCCCUUGAUGUGAUAUAACCUGCUUAGGAGGUGUAUCGGUUCCUUUGUCUGCCAUAACAAAUUACCACAAACUUGAUGGCUUUACAACAAAAAUUUAUUUUCUUAUAGUUAUGGAGGCCAAAAGUCAGAAAUCAGGGUGUAUGCAUGGCCAUGGUCCCUCCAUAGCCUCUAGAGGAGAAUUCAUUCCUUACCUCUUCCAGGCUACCUUUUCAUUCUGGAGCUUGUGACCACGUUACUCCAAUCUCUGCUUCUGUUUUCACAUCUCUCUGUCUGUUUCCAUAUGUGUGUCUCUUAUAAGGAUACUUGUUACUGGAUUUCGGGCCCACCUGGAUAAUCCAAGAUGAUCUCAUCUCAAGAUCCUUGAUGUAAUUGCUGCAGAUAACUUUUUUCCACAUAAGAUCACAUUCACAAGUUCCAGGAAUUAAGAUGAGAACAUAUUUUUGGGGGGCUACUAUAUAGCUGGAGAGUUUUGGAGAAAAAGGAAUAGUUUGGAGAGAACCAUUUUUUGCUUAAAGCUAGGAAGUAGAAUUUGCAUUAUGUGAAGAAAUUGAAGGUAGAAAGCUUAUUUUAACUGGGAAAAGGUUCAUGUGGGCCCUUUUGGGAAGAGUUAAGAAAGAGGGAGAUAAAUAGUGAAAGGAGAGUCAGGAGAAAGAUAGUAAGAGAAGAGAUAACCGACAUGAGAAACUUUUAAGACUGUGGAUCUGUGCAGAUUGAAGGUCUUCAUGUGAGAAGUCUGAUGCUAUUGGUAGACCUUGUGGUCUUUGUUUUGUGCCAAGUUCAAGCUGAGUUUUGCUGAAAAGUUACUCUGUUGUCUUAGAAGUGAAAUCUUUCCCAGCUGGUUAGAUGGCUUUCUGAAUUUGCACCAGUGUUUUAUGGAACUGAAGAGGCUUUUGUAAUAGCUUGGGGAAACAGUCCUUUAAUAAAUUAUUUUGAAAUUGAAAGGUGUGCUGAGCUGAAAUCUUCUGGGGGAAUUACUGCACCUUGAAAUGACUAGAAGUUUUCCAGUGAUGUUUGAUAUACCAAGAGCAGAUUGGGUGUAAUAGUCUAGGGUUGUGAAGAGGAAAGGGUGUUUAAUUUUAAGAAGUGUUUUUUUGGUGGUGGGGGUGGUUACACUGAGGUGAUAGGGUAAUUGUUUUUGUCUGACUGGUUGAUGUCAUAUAUUAAUAAAAUUCCUAAAAUUCAAUCUAUCUUUGUGUUCCUUUUAUCAGUUUUACUUGGUAGUGGUAGACCAUUUGGCUAUGCUUAUGUUCUGUUAAGAAUGCUAAUUUGUUUUAAUUUAGACUUUUCAUAUCUCUUUUUGUAUAUGAGGUUAGAAGUGUGUGUGUGUGUGUGUGCUUGUGCACGUUGUACACAUGUGCACACUAAUUUUGACAUCAAAACAGAUUUUCUAUUAUUUUGGGUAACUUUCACUGCAUUCUGAAACAAAAGAAUUAUCAGUUCUUUGAAAGCAGAGCUUUCUCUCAAUCUGGAACACUUUUUGGCCUGUGGUGGGAAUAUGCUUAAUGCAUUCAAGGAAUAGCAAGGGGGCCAACAUAACUGGAUCACAGUGAGCGGGGCAAAACUAGGAAGUAGUUAAUAGUUAACAUCGAGCCUUUGCUUUCACUCUGAUUGAGAUGGGAAGUCACUGGAGGGUUUUGAGCAAAGAAAUAACAGAGCCUGACUUAAAUUUUAAAAGGAUCACCUUGCAUGUUGUGUUGAGAAGAAGCUGAAGGGGAGAGGUAGUGGAGGGACAAGGCUGAAGGCAGAGUUAACCAAUUAGGAAGCUGUUACAAAAGUCCAGAUGAGGGAUAAUGGUGGCUUGGACCAGGGUAGGUAGUGGUAGAGAUGUCAGGCGGUCAGAUUUGGAUGUGUUUUGAAGGUAGACAGGAUUUGUUAAUGAUGGCUUGAUUGGAUAUGAAUUUUAAGAGAAGAGUUGGGGAUGACUCCAAGGUUUUGCACCAAAUGAUUAAAGGAUGAACUUGCUGUUUACUGAGAUGGGGAAAAUCCUUUGGAAGCUUUAGGUUUAGGAGGUGAGAUUAGGAGUCCGAAUAUUGAUAUGUUAAAAUUGCAGGUAUUUAGUAGCCCAAUAAAAAUCUCUCUCUGGAUAGUAUUCCUACGAAUUAAAAUUUUUUAAAUCUUGAGUUGUAGUCUCUUGCAUUUCCAGAGUCUUGUAUCUGUUUUCGUUUUCUUUGACCUGUUGAGUCAAUAGGGUAAUGAAUUUUCAGAACUUUCAUUUUGGUGAGAUUUUAAAAUGUGUUUUAUGUGUACUCUAAGUUUAAAAAAUGGCUAAAACCUUUAUAUGCUAAUAAAGCAGACCUCUUGAAUGCCAGGAGAAAUUGACAGAAAUGCAGUAAGAAUGGAGAACUUUUUAAAAAUUUUCAAAGUAAUACAUGUAUAUUGUUGUUAAAGUCAAAUUGCACUAAAAGCCCUAUAAUGACAAAUAUUGCACUCCUCACCAUUCCCCUUCUCCAAGUACCUUUUUCCAGAAGCUACUGCUUUCACUUUUCUAAUUGUUUCUCUUAGUAUCUAGCUCCAUAUUUUUGGUGGUAUGCAAUAACUGCUGUAUUUUGAUUUAUCAGUUUCAGGUGUUACUGACUUUCGGCCUCUGUAGUUAGAAUUUAGUUCUCCUACUCUCUUUCCUGUAUCCCCGUAGCAGAGUUAUAUUUCAGUUAUUGGUUAAGCCAAUAAUAAUGAGUGGUGUUAUAAGUGUGUAAAUAUUGUUUAUUGCUGAGCUAACUAUUCUUCUGAAGCUAUAUUCUCUGCCCCCCCCCCCCUUUUCCCCUGGAGUUAAUAAUUGCUUCACUUUUCUUUUACCUGAUUUUCUAAGAUGCUAGGGCGUUUUUUUUCCCCCCAAAUGUCGCAUGCUUGGCAGUAAUACCCAUACUCAAACAUCAGGUCCAGUUCCUUCCCCAUCCUACCCCUACUAGCCUCAGGGUUACUUUUGGGAUCCAUCUAUUUCACUGUGGGUUGGUUGCUCUUCUGGCCUGUUCUCCAAAGUGUUUUAGCAGUUAAUGCUGCCAGCAGCAGCAACAUUACCCCACAUUCUCACCAACACUUUGUGUUCUCAAACUUUUAAAUUUUAGCUAUUGUGGUGGUUGUCCAUUGCCUUUUCCUUCUUCGUUGUCAUUGCCUUUGCCAUCGUCUUUGUCCAUUUUUUUCUUCGAUUGGCUGUUUCAUUGAUUUGUAGGAUUUUUUUUUUUUUGGUGAGGAAGAUUCACCUGAGCUAACAUCUCUGCCAGCCCUCCUCUAUCUUGUAUGUGGGAUGUCUCCACGGCAUGGUUGACAAGGGGAGUAGGUCUGCGUGUGGGAUCCAAACCUGUGAACCCAUGCCGCUGAGGUGGAGCACAUGGAACUUGAAUCACUCUGCCAUAGGGCUGGCCCCUAGGAUUUGUUUUUACAUAAUCUUUGGAUACUCAUCUUUUGUAGUGCGUUUCACCUUUCACAUUUUAUGUCUUUGGUUAGUCCAUUUGGCAUUGACUUUAGUAUAUGAUAUGAGGUAGGGAUUUGGUUUCCCUUUUUUCCCCAUAUGAUAACCAGUUGUCCCAGCACUAUUUCUUUAAAAAUCUAUUUUCCAAGCUGUGGUACUAUCUAUGAUAAACCAAUUGACUAUAUAUAUAUAUGUAUAUAUAUAUAUAUAUGAAUAUGAUUUCCUGGCACUCUUAUUUUGUGUCAUUAGUCUAUUUCUUUGGUCUAUUUGUCUAUCCCUAAAUGAGUAUCACAGAUUACUGUGGUCUUACAGUUAAGUGUUGAUAUCUGGUAGGACAAGUUCACCCACUGUGUGUUUUUUUUUAACUGAGAUUUCUUACGGUUUGUGUAGGAUAGGUUUUCUUAAUUUCCAAACAUUGGGCAUUUUCUACGUAGAGUUUUGGGGGUUAUUCCUUUCUAGAAAUAACACGUGUUAGCAAGGUUUCGGAGAAAUGGGAACCCUGUGCACAGCUGGUGGGAAUGUAAAUUGGUGCAGCCAUUGUGAAAAACAGUGUGGAGCUUCCUCAAAAAAUUAAAAAUAGAACUACCAUACAAUCCAGCAAUUCCACUUCUGGCUGUUUAUCUGGAAAAAAUUAAAAACUAACUUGAAAAGAUAAUAUGCACUGCUAUGUUCAUUGCAGCGUUAUUUACAAUAGCCGAGAUAUGGAAACAACCUAAGUGCCCAUUGAUGGAUGAAUGGAUAAAGAUGUGUGUGUGUGUAUACACACACACUAUGGAGUAUUACUCAGCCAUAAAAAGAAUGAAAUUUUGCUAUUUGCAAGAACAUGGAUGGACUUGGAGAGUGUUAUGCUAAGUGAAAUAAUACAAAGACAAAUACUGCAUAAAUUAGGUUCCUGGACCCAGUUUCCAUGAGUAUGUGUGGAGGGGGGAGGCUGGCUUCCCACACAACACCAAACAGUUCUGACACCAGCAAGGUGUCCUACAGUUCGAGUCAGUUCUAACGCUAUCCACUUGGAGAUAACUUCAGAUCCCACAGGUUAAGAGUUCAGUCUGCAAGACUAACCUCCCACCCCCCACCCUCCGCCCACAUACACCCUUCAAACACCAGCCAGUUGCAAGCCCAGGUUGUUACCUGUGCUUCUGAGCAACAGGCUACAGACUGGAGAUUCCAGUGACCCCCCUUCAACUCAGAAUGCCAGUCUCAAGCCCAAGUUGUUACCUGUACUUCUAACUGACUGCCUCUAAAUCCGAGGUUCCCACAACCCCCUCCUCUGGUUUGAUUAAUUUGCUAGAGUGUCUCACAGAACUCAGAGGAACAUUUUACUCACUAGAUCACCUGUUUAUUAUAGAAGGAUGUAACUCAGAAACAGCUAGAUGGAAGAUAUGUGUAGGGCAGGGUAUGUGGAAAGGGCUCGGAGCUUCCGUGCUUUCUCUGAACAUGCCACACCCUCCAAAUCUCCAUGUGUUCACCAACUCAGAAGCUCUCCGAACCCUGCCUUUUUGGGUUUUUAUGGAGGCUUCAUUACAUAGGUGUGAUUGAUUAAAUUGGUGAUUCAUGCAACCUCCAGCCCUUCUCUUUUAACCUAACAAAAGACACCUUCAUCACUCUCAACACUUAGGAAAUUCUAAGGGUUUUGGGAGCUGUGAGCCAGAAACCAUGAAUGAACACCAAAUGUAUAUGAGAAAUAUAUUUUGGUCAUCUGAAUGGCCAAAUAUAUAUUUUUCUUGCAAAUCACAUCAUCACACCGUAUGAUGUCACUUAUCUGUGGAAUAAAAAAAAGACCCAAGCUUCAUAGAUACAGAGAACAGAUUGGUGGUUCCAGAGGUGGGGGAUGAUGAAAGAUACAAACUUCCAGUUAGAAAAUAAGUCAUGGUGAUAUAAUGUACAACAUGGUGACUAUAGUUAAUAAUACAAUAUUGCUUAUUUGAAAGUUGCUAAGAGAAUAGAUCUUAAAGGUUCUGAUCACAAGAAAAAAAUUUUUUAACUGUGUAAGUGAUGGGUAUUAACUAGACCUAUUGUGAUGAUCAUUUCACAGUGUAUACAAAUAUCAAAUCAUUAUGUUGUACACCUGAGACUAAUAUAGUAUGUCAGUUAUACCUCAAUAAGAUAAAAAAUACUUACUACAAAGCUGCAGUAAUUGAGACUGUGUAGUACUGGCAUAAGAUCAUAUGGAUCAGUGGAACAGAAUUGAGAGUCCAGAAAUAAAUGCGUAUAUUUAUGGGCAAUUGAUUUCGACAAGAGUGUCAAGACAAUUUAGUGGGUAAAGAAUAGUCUUUUAACAAGCGGUGCCGGGACAAUUGGAUAUCCACAUGCAGAAGAAUGAAAGUUUUACCCCUGCAUCACAGCAUAUACAAAAUGAACUCAAGAUGGGUCAGAGAUUUAAGCGUAAGCUAAAACUUUCAGACUCAUGGAAGAGAACAUAGAUGUAGAUCUUCCUGGUGUUGGAUUAGGUAAUAGUUUCUUAGAUAUGACACCUGAAUCACAAGCAACCAAAGAAAAUAUAUGUAAUUGGACUUCAUCAAAUUAAAACUUUUGUGUAUCAAAGGAUUCUAUCAAGAAAGUGAAAAGGCAACCAACAGGAUUGGAGGAAAUACUUGUAAACCAUACAUCUGACAAGAGUCUAAUAUCCAGGUAAAGGAACUGUUACAGCUCAGUAAUAAAAAGAAAAGAACCAAUUUAAAAAAUGAGGACAGCAUUAGAAUAGACAUUUCUCCAAAGGAAAGAUGCUCAAUGUAGUCAUUAGUAAAAUACAAAUCAAAAUUAUGAGAUACCACUUUGCACCCAAAAAGAUGACUAAAAUUUAAAAAGAUAAUAAUGUUGACAGGGAUGUAGAGAAAUUGGAACGCUUGUACGUAGCUGGUGGGAAUGUAGAAAGAGUGAUGCAGCUGGUUUGGAAAACAAUCUCUCAAAAGUUAAACUUAGAGUUACGAUAUGGUCCAGCAGUUAUGCUUCUAGGUAUAUCCAAGAGACUUGAAAACGUGUUCACAUAAAAACUAAUUCACGAUUGUUCAUAGCAGCAUUAUUCAUGAUAGCUAAAAAGUAGAAGCAACCCAUUAAACAAUUGAUAGAUAAACAAAAUGUUAUAUAUUCAUACACUGGACUAUAUAGUAUUCAGCCAUUAAAAACAAGGUGUUACUGAUACAUGCUACAAUGUUAUUUGAACCUUCAAAGAACAUUAUGCUAAGUGAAGUAAACCAGUCACAAAAGGCCACAUGUAUGAUUCCAUUUAUGUGAAACGUCCAGAAUAGCCAAAUCCAUAAGGACAAAGUAGAUUUGUAGUUGCUGGGGCCUGGAGGGAAGGGAGAAUGGGGAAGGACUGCUAAUGGGUAUGGGGUGAUGAAAAUAUUCUGGAAUUAGAUAGUGGUAAUUGUUGUAGAACUCUGAAUAUGCUAAAAACCACUAAAUUGUACACUAUCAAGAGGUGAAUUUUAUGAUCUAGGAAUUAUAUAGGAAUUAUAAAAUUGUUUUUAAAAAAUCACUUUAAUCUUAAAAUAUGUUGAGUGAUGUACAAUCUAAAUAUUUUAAUGAUUAAAAUUUGCAUUUUAUUAUAAAGCACUGCAGGCAACUGAGUGUAGCCUUAAAUUCUCAGGUACUUUCUAGCAUGUAUCUUGUAAUCUAUAGUAAAAUAUAAUUGUUAUUGUGGGUUUCUCUCUGAAGUGGUCAUUUUAAGUAAAGUUUGAUUAUUAUUUUUUGGCCCCAACGUUGAUUUCAUUACUAUCAUAUUAAUAAGCCAGCUUUGGAUUGUCAUGGGGGGUCUUGUCAACUUGUUAACAGGUUAGAGAAUGCAUUUUGGUCCUUGCUUGCAAGAUUAUAUUUAAUAGAGUGAGGGUUAUUAAGUUGUGUAAUGCUAGAUUAGUGAUGAUUUAAUAUGUAGGGCAAACUAAAGUGAAGUGAUACCUAGCAUACCUCAACAGGUGAUUGGCAAUUUCUGCAGAAUUGUGUAUCAGUCUACCUCUUUCCUAAGGUGGCUCCCAACUGCCAAGUAUUGUAUUAAAAUAUUUAGAAAUUGGGAGAAAAAGAAGUAAAGUAAGGUAAUUCAUUAUUUUUAAAAUUAGAAUUCUUAGUGUUAAUAAAGGAAAUUAAAUGAGCUUUCUCUGUUUUUUCAAGUUUUUAUCCCUCUUGAGACUUAAUCUUUGGUAAGUUUUGAGCUUCCCAGAAAAUAAAAUUAAGUGCAAUAUGUAUUAGUCGGUUGUCACUGUGUGAGAAACUCCCCUAGAACUCAAUGGCUUAAAACAGCAAUGAAUUAUUCUUGCUUAUACAUCUCUAGAGCAGCUGUGGAUUAGGUUUAGCUAGGCGGCUGUGGGUGCAGGUGGGCUUUCCUUCUCCCUGGGGGUUGUGCUUAGCACAUCAUUUGGGGUUUGGCUCAUUUCUACUCUUUGUGUUUAUUCUGGGGCCUAGACUGAAGGGGCAGCAUCUACCUGGUGAAACUUCUCAUGGUGAUGGCAAAGCUAUAAGAGGACAAGCCCAGCUGCACAAAGACAUUUCAAACCUCUGUGUGCAUCCUUUCUGCUAAUGUCCUGUUGGCCAAAGCAAGUCAGAUGGCCAAGGCUAUGGGGGCAGGGAAGUUGACUCUGCCCACCAUGAGGCCAAAGUAAGGCAUAUGGCCAAGCUCAGCAUCAGAUGGGAAGGAAAAUAUACUCCUUCCAUGGAGGUCGGGAUUGGAGUAGGAGGUAGUGGUUAUUUUUGAAGAAAAACAAAAUCUGCUAUAUGGUGCAAAAAUGAGAUAGUGAUCAUAUUGCAGUUGUGUUAUAUUUUGCAUGAAAUAGUGAAAAAUUGGAGCAAGGCCAUUUACUUAGUCUAGCUUAGUCUCAGUUGUUUUAAUAUAUCAGUUAAUAAGACCAUACUAUUUUUGUAUUCUCUUGUUUUUUUAAUAGAUUGUUUUACUUUAGCUAUAGAUUUUUUUUUUUAAAGAUUAGUUCCCAAACACACAGGACGUUAUUAGAAGCAUCGUUCAUUGGGAGCAUCAUCAAUCAACUUAAAGAAAAAAGUGAUAUGUGCUUUCCAUUUUAGUAAGGUAAGUGGCUUAUACUUUCAUCAUUUAGCGCCUUCCAAGAUGAUAGUCAGUGUGACAAACAUACUUCGUAUUUUCAGAGAAAUUUAACAUAUUUAAAUUUCUUGGCAAGGUUAUAUGUCUACUUAAUAAAACAUUUAAGUGGGUAUCUAGUGAAGAGUAAGCUUUUUUCACACUGUCACUUGGUCCUGUAGUUCUGUUUCCCAGAAAUCUCACUAUUACUAGUUUCUUUUGUAUCCUUCCAUACCUAUUGUGUGCAUCAGCAAGCAUAUAUUUCUAUACAUGUUCCUCCUCCCACUCUCUCUCCUUUCUCUCUUCACACAAAGGGAAGUACACCCUGUUCUGCACCUUGCUUUUUUUGGUUUAACAGUGUUUCUUGGUUGUAGGUCCAUAUCGGUUACUUAUAGGUCUGUUUUAUGGAUGGCUUUAUUAAAGUGUAAUUUAUAUACAGUAAAUUGCACCCUCUUAAAAUGUACAAUUUGGUGGAGUUUGACAGAUUUACAGACUCUUAGAGCCACCAUAACAAUCAAGAUACAGAACAUUUUCAUCACCUCCAAAAGUCUCUCUCUCCCUCCACUCCUGACCCCAGGCAAUGACUCAUCUGCUUUCUUUUUAUGUAGAUUAGGUUGCCUUUUUUAGAAUUUCAGAAAAAAUGGAAUUAUGCAUUAUGUACACUGUGUCUAGCUUUUUUCACUCAGCAUAAUGACUGAGUUUCAUUCAUAUUGUUCCAAGUAGUUGUUCCUUUUGAUUGCUGAGUAGUUUUCUAUUAUACUGAUAGACCACAUUUUGUUUAUCCAGUUCCCCUGACUUUUGGGUUGUUUUGAGAUUUUGGUUAUUGUGCAUAAAGCUGCACUGAAGAUUUUUUUCCUCCCUUUUUGUCCCCAAAGUCCCCCAGUGCACGGUUGUAUAUAUAUUAUAGUUGUAGGUCCUUCUAGUUGUGGUACAUGGGACGCCACUUCAGUGUGGCCUGAUGAGCGAUACCAUGUCCGUGCCCAGCAUUUGAACCAGUGAAACCCUGGGCCGCUAAAGUGGAGCGCACAAACUUAACCACUCGGCCACUGGGCCAGCCCCUGCAUUGAAGAUUUUUGAACAAGUUUUUAUGUGGACAUAGGUAGAAUGGGUGUGAUUCUUGGCUAAAAAAAUCUUUGUCUACCUCAGAGUCUCAAAAAUUUUCACCUUUGUUUUCUUCUGGAGUUUUAUAGUUUUACAUUAAUGUCUGUGAUCAAUCUCAGAUUAUUUUUGUGAGUUGUAUGUAAAGGACUGAUGUUCUUUUUUUUUUUCCCAGUUGGAUAUCUAGUAAUUCCAGCACCAUUUUUUUCAUUCUUUCUUUUCCCCAUGGACUUGCUUUGGCACUUUUGCCAAAAAUUAAUUGACCAUAAAUGUAUGCAUCUAUUUCUGGAUUCUCUGUUCCGUUGAUCUCUGUUCCGUUGAUCUCUGUGUCUGUCCUACUGUCCAGAUUAUACUGUCUUGAUUACUGUAACUUUAUAGUAAAUCUUGAAAUUGGUUAGUGUCAGUAUUGGAAAUUUGUUCUUUUUUUAAAAAAAGUCUUUGACUAUUGUACACGGUUUUUGCCUUUCCACAUAAGUUUUAAAAUCAGGUUGUCAAUUUCUAUAUAAAAAGCCUGGGGGAAUUAUGCCUGGAAUUGAGUGGAAUCUCAACUCUACUUUGAUGUGAUUGUGUGGUAUUCUAUUGCAUAAAUGUAUCAAUUAUGUAACCAGCUUAUAGUGAUGGUUGUUUGUUGGGGAUUCAAUCUAUUCAUGCAGUGUUGCAGAGAAUUUUGUAUUUGCUGUAUUUGUGUCUUUGUGCACUUGUGCAAGUAUAUCCAUAAUAUUAAGUCCUGGAAAUGGAAUUGUUUGAAAUUUAGCAUUUAUAAUUUUGAUAGAUGUUGCUAAGUCGUCCUGCAUAGACCUUGAAUGGGAGAGUACCUAUUACAAACCUUUGCCAAGACUGUGUUGUUAAACUUCUUGAUCUUUGGCCAGUCUGAUAGGUGGGAAAAAUGGUGUUUUGUUUUCGUUUUAACUUAUUUUAUUCUUUAUUAUCACACCAGCCAUCUGUGGUUUCUUUCUUGUGCACAUGUAAUGGUGAUUAGCUCUUGCUAUUUCUUGCCAGUAUUUUUCCUUUAGUUUUUUCUCUCAAACUUAGCUUCUGAAUUUUCUGACAGGGCUUGAAACCUUUUCCCACUCUGAAAAUAAAUAUUAAAAUUCUCCCACAUUUUAAUGUGUUCUUUUAUGUUUCAAUUUUUAAUGGUUAAAUUUUUCCUGGACAUUAAUUGCCUCACUCUUAAACCAAAAUUACUCAGAUGGUUACCCAGUUGUACUAACACCAAUUGUUGAACAAUCUUUUCUUCAUUAAUUUGAAAUUAAUGAAAUUAAUACUGUCUUUAUCUUUACUAAAUUCCCUCACGCUUUUGGGCCUAUUUUUGGAGUCUCUGUGCUGUUCCAUUAAUCUGUGGUCUAUCGAUAUGUUGGAGCUAAAUUGUUAAUUAUUACAAUGAAGUGUAUUUUAAUAUCAGCAAGCACAAAUCUACACCCC
rnacentral:lncRNA from 1 species